rnacentral:rRNA from 1 species
UACAGGGGGGUGCAAACGUUGCUCGGAAUUAUUGGGCGUAAAGCGCGCGUAGGCGGCCACUUAAGUCGGAUGUGAAAGCCCCUGGCUCAACUGGGGAAGUGCACCCGAAACUGAAUGGCUUGAGUGCGAAAGAGGGUCGCGGAAUUCCCGGUGUAGAGGUGAAAUUCGUAGAUAUCGGGAGGAACACCGGGUGGCGAAGGCGGCGACCUGGGUCGACACUGACGCUGAGGCGCGAAAGCAUGGGGGAGCGAACAGG